rnacentral:rRNA from 1 species
GAUGAACGCUGGCGGCGUGCUUAACACAUGCAAGUCGAACGGAACUCUUAUCGAAUGAGGUUUCGGCCAAAUGAGGUUUGAGUUUAGUGGCGGACGGGUGAGUAACGCGUGAGCAACCUGCCCUUCAGUGGGGGACAACAGCUGGAAACGGCUGCUAAUACCGCAUAUUACAACGAGGUCGCAUGACCAUGUUGUGAAAGAUUAAUCGCUGAAGGAUGGGCUCGCGUCUGAUUAGCUAGUUGGUGGGGUAACGGCCUACCAAGGCGACGAUCAGUAGCCGGACUGAGAGGUUGAACGGCCACAUUGGGACUGAGAUACGGCCCAGACUCCUACGGGAGGCAGCAGUGGGGAAUAUUGGGCAAUGGGCGCAAGCCUGACCCAGCAACGCCGCGUGAAGGAAGAAGGCUUUCGGGUUGUAAACUUCUUUGACCAGGGAAGAAACAAAUGACGGUACCUGGAAAACAAGCCACGGCUAACUACGUGCCAGCAGCCGCCGUAAAAC